AUUGAACGCUGGCGGCAGGCCUAACACAUGCAAGUCGAACGAGUGGCGGACGGGUGAGUAAUGCCGGGGAAACUGCCUGAUGGAGGGGGAUAACUACUGGAAACGGUAGCUAAUACCGCAUACCCUCGGAUGUGCCCAGAUUGGAUUAGCUAGUCGGUGGGGGAAAGGUCCACCUAGGCGACGAUGCCUAGCUGGUCUGAGAGGAUGACCAGCCGCACGGGAACUGAGACACGGUCCAGACUCCUACGGGUGGCAGCAGUGGGGAAUAUUGCACAAUGGGAGCAAGCCUGAUGCAGCAAGGCCGCGUGUAUGAGGAAGGCCGUCGGGUUGUAAAGUACUUUCAGCGGGGAGGCGGUACCCGCAGAAGAAGCACCGGCUAACUCCGUGCCAGCAGCCGCGGUAAUUC
rnacentral:rRNA from 1 species